GCUGGGUGCGGUGGCGUGUGCCUGCAAUCCCAGCAGCUUGGGAGGCUGAGAUAGGAGGAUCACGAGUUCAAAGCCAGCCUCAGCAACAGUGAGGCACUAAGGAAUUCAGUGAGACCCUGUCUCUA
rnacentral:sRNA from 1 species